ACUGUCGGUGAGGCUGACCAGAUCUUAUGACCUCACCCAAGUAAGAAGUCCCUAACAGACAAGGAUAGCCCAAGAGCAUUUGGACACUUUCUCCCAAAAUGUAAAAGACUGAAAGCGCUCCUACAGCCUUCAUCUCAUUUAGUCUUCACAGCAAUCCUGCAUCAAGACAGAAGAAAUGCAGCACAAGGCCUCUCUACCCAGUCAGGGACCAGACGGGCACUCACCCAUUCAGACAAGAUGAGUCGAUCACUGGAAUGCUUGGAAGUCUUCCAUCUCACUGAAUGUCCAUUU